UUAACUAACUGGAAUUUAAAUAAAAAAUUGAAACAAAAAAGGCAUAUUAUGUUCUUGAGAUAAAUGAGUAAAUAUUACAAAAAUGUCAAUCUCCUCUUCCAAAUAGUUCUAUAACUUCAGUUUAAUCCUAAUCAAUAUCUUUUUUUGUUCUUUCAGCCAUUUUUUAAAUUUGCAGUUCUUGUUCAAUGCAAAUCAAUUCCAUAAUAUGAGAAGUUACUAUGAAUCAAAGCAUAGAUAUACACACACAAUAUACAAUCCAAAGUAGGUAGACAACAUUCAGGCAUGAAACAAAAAGGAAUGUUCAUUCAAACACAGUAGCUUGAGAUCUGUUGGAAAUGGUUGUUAUGGCGUGGGUUCCUAAAGUUGGGAAAAAAUGACUUUGGUCAUCAAGACUAUUGUGGCCAUAUUAGAUAUUGGAACAUUUAAGCAUCAGUGGGGAGAUGAGUGGGCAGAUGGGUUAGAUAGGUGAUGGGCAUUAAGGAGGGAACUUGUUCUGAUGAGCCUCAGUGGGUGACCAUGUGAACAAAAUAUUUUAGAAUGUCUAUUUUUAAAAAGCUUUCUGUGCAUCUGGGCAGUUGUGAAAAGAUGUACUUUCCAGAAUCAAGCCUUCUUUGGGCUUAGAAUGAAGUUCUAACCAUCUAAAAAUAUUGGCGAACAGAAAGUUUUCCAAAUGUGAUUAUUCUGAUUCAGAGUUAAAAAAAAAAAAGUAUUUACAAAAAGAGUAUAAAAGUUUUCCUGAAUUUAUUGUAAGUAAGCUUCUAGUCUUCACUUCCCAAAUACUUGAUUUAUAAUUUUGGCUCCUGCACAUAUUUUGUCUUUUUAAUUUCAAGAUUUGUUAAUUUUACCUUCACAACAGAUUUUUUUAAUUGCAAAAAGUAUUCAACAUAAGCAGAAAUAAAAGCAUUUUGAAAUUAGUUGAGGUCAAUGUACUCCUACUUUUUGGAAUCAGUUUAGAUAAACGAAUCUAGCACUCUUGUUGAAUAGGAAUGGGUGAUAUGUAUAUAAGCAAAAUUUGCUCAUUAUGCUUCAAUCUGGGGUAGAUUCCAAUCUAUCAUUGCCUUGGCACAUGUCAAAUACUAUAUAAAAAAUCAAAUGCAAUGUCAAAUCCAAAGCCUCAGGGAAAAGAGUUCAGUUCCCAAAAAACAGUGAUAGCUCAACAAUGUAAAACUUUAUCUAGACUACACUGGCAUUAAAUCAGUACUGCUGAGACAAUACAUUGAGGAUUUACGGCAACACCUGGAAGUUUCUUCCAUGUACAUAUAAAUAGCAUUAUGGAAGCUUUUUGUAUUAACUGUUUUAUGGCCUUAAAGAUUUAAAGAACCAAAUGAAAACUGAUUCUGUUGACAUUCCAUCCUUUAUAUCCAGGUAAGAUAAAAUCUAUUCUCAUUUUCAAGGUAGAAUUUACCUGUCCAUACUUCUUAAGGCACCUUUAAAGAAAUCAUACCUUAACUAAUCUUGGAUGUUGUCUCUUCAUCUUGUACAUGCAACUCCAGUAGAUUUAAUAGACAUUCAUCAUCCAGACAAUAGACUCUUCAUAUGUUCUUCAAACCAGUAAAACUUGGGAUCCUCAACAUUUUCUGUGUCAAUAAAAUAAAGUGUGGAAUUAGCAGAUUCAACAAGGACCUGUUUUCUUUGUCACACUGGCUGUCUAGACACCAUUUGGAUUGGGUUUAGAAGAUGGGGAAGUAUAGAUGUUUCUUGGCCUGAGUCUCUUAACCGUAGAGAUGUAGAAGGUAACAAGAUGAUGAAGAGACUGGCUGUUGACUGCAGAGCACUGCUAGUUGUCAUGGUGAUGCCAUUAGCUGGAUUUGGGGCAGUUGAGGUAUUCUGGGAGGAGUUACUUGAAAGUGUUACAGGUUUUUGAUUUGAAUAAAUCUGUGUGGGUAGAAGCAGCUACAGAAGAAGAAGCCCCAGUGAGAGCCUGGCCAUCAUCGCCCUACCCAGGUCCACUCUGCCAGUAUCAGUGCUCUCACUUGAUGCCACAUGAGUGGAGACCCGCUGGCUCAAGGUGGGGGCAGGCAAGGUCUCUAAUCAAUAUAUUAAUAGAUUUUUUUAAUGGAGUUUGACAAGAUGGUUCCAAAAUUCGGAAAAGACAUUAUCUAAAAGUAUGUAAUUUUUUAUUUUUAAAAGAAAGAGAAUGGGCUAGACUGCCAUCUAACAUACUUUAAAUAGGUAACAUAUGGAAUGCGGCAGUUUUGGUGCCAAAAAGGUUAAAUUAGAGCUACAACAGAAUAUAGAAAAAACAAACACUACUAUAGAUGGAAAACUGGCAUUUCCAGGCAGUAGGAAUAGAACAAGUUGCCAUUAGUGUGUAAGAAAAGUUACACUCUAACUCACAAAAUUCAAUAGCAAUUACAAAUAGAUUCAAGUUUAUUUUUUAAAGUUUAUAUUGAAAUAAUAAAAGAACAAAAACCUUAAAUGGUUAAAAUAAAUUGCAUCAGACUAGAGAGACUUGUAAUAUAUAUGAAAGGAUUCAUAUCCCUAUUUUAUAAAAAAAAAAUUGUUCAAAAAUAAUGAGAAAAAAAUUCCAUCAUAAAAUUGGGUCAAAGGCAUGAAAAAAUAAUGUCUAGAAAGGAUGGUAAAAAUGUUUAAAAUGGUGAAAAAUGCUCAACUUCACCAGGGAUUCACAAUGUGUAAAUUAACACAAUGAGUUAUUUUUCUCCCACAAGACUGGCCAAAACUUUAACUAUAAAUCAAACUUUAUUGAUAAUGUGGGGGAAUGCACACCACUAUUUAUUAUUAGUGGAGGUGUGAAGUGGUACAAAAUUUGAAAAGAAAUUUAGUAAUAGCUUUCAUUUUAAUAUACUUCAUACCAUUUAACCCAGAAUAUUUACCACCGGGAAUUAAAAUGUUAUUUUAUCAAUAGAAAACUGGUGAAAUAAUCUUUUGUAUAUCCAUAGCUUAGAAUAGUACCUAAUGUCUAUUUUUUAAAUUGUGGUGAAACAUACAUAAUUUAAAAUUUACUAUUGACAUCAUUGUUUAGUGUAUAAUUCGGUAGCAUUAAGUACGUUCACACUGUGGUGAAACCAAUCUCCAGACUGUUUUCAUCUUACAAAACUGAAACUCUGUACCCAUUAAAUAACAACUCCCACUCCUCCCUCCCCCAGCUCUUGACAACCACCAUUUUCUGUUGUUUGUAUGAAUCUACUACUCUAGAUACCUCAUGUAAGUAGAAUCAUAUAGUCUUUGUAUUUUUGUGACUUGCUUAUUUCAUGUAGUAUAAUGUCCUCAUGUUUCAUCCAUGUUAUAGCAUGUAUCAGAAUCUCCUUCCUUUUCAAGGUUAAAUAAUAUUCCAUUGUAUGUAUAUACCUCAUAUGGGUUUUUUUUUGUUUAUCCAUGCAUCUGCUGUUGGACACUUGGGUUGUUUUUACCUUUUGGCUAUUGUUAAUAAUGCUAUUAUGAAAAUGUGUAUACAAAUA